rnacentral:rRNA from 1 species
UGGGGAAUAUUGCACAAUGGGCGCAAGCCUGAUGCAGCAACGCCGCGUGAACGAUGAAGGUCUUCGGAUCGUAAAGUUCUGUUGCAGGGGAAGAUAAUGACGGUACCCUGUGAGGAAGCCCCGGCUAACUACGUGCCAGCAGCCGCGGUAAUACGUAGGGGGCUAGCGUUAUCCGGAAUUAUUGGGCGUAAAGCGCGCGCAGGUGGUUUAGAAAGUCUGAUGUGAAAGCCCACGGCUCAACCGUGGAGGGUCAUUGGAAACUAAUAAACUUGAGUGCAGGAGAGAAAAGUGGAAUUCCUAGUGUAGCGGUGAAAUGCGUAGAGAUUAGGAGGAACACCGGUGGCGAAAGCGGCUUUUUGGCCUGCAACUGACACUGAGGCGCGAAAGCGUGGGGAGCAAACAGG